AACGAACGCUGGCGGCAGGCCUAACACAUGCAAGUCGAACGAGGACUUCGUUCCUAGCGUCGGUCGGGUGUGUAACGCGAGGUAACGUGCCCUUUGCUUCGGAUUAGUCCCGGGACACUGGGAGUAAUACCGGUAUAGCCCACGGGGGGUAAGAUUUAUCGGUGAUGGAUCGGGCCGCGUUGGAUUAUGUAGUUGGUGGUGUAAUGGCCUACCAAUCCGGCGACCCAUCGCUGGCUUGAGAGGAUGAUCAGCCACACUGGGAAUGAGACACGGUCCAGACUCCUACGGGAAGCAGCAGGGGGGAAUCUUAGACGAUGGGGGAGACCCUGAGCUAGCCAUGCCGCGUGAGCGAUGAAGGCGUUAGGAUUGUAAAGCUCUGUCAGCUGGGAAGAUAAUGACGGUACCAGCAGAAGAAGCCCCGGCUAACUCCGUG
rnacentral:rRNA from 1 species